AUCUAAUGUAUUUCAGUACAAUGCAGUCAUGAUUUACCGGUUGAUGUUCAAUGUUGGAGCAAGACUCAGAUCCCAGAAGUAGUUUAGUCAAGAUGGAUGACAGGGGUGACAGUGGUCCUUGCAGCCUUCUGCUUCACCAGGGGUACAGCUAUCCUCACGGAGCUCACAAUACCGGCCUUCACAAUUACAUUCAGGAUUCCCACACUGGAUUACAACCUGCCUUCAUAUAUGAGAUGUUGAAGCUUUCAAUGAGGUCACACCAGACACUGACAAGUGCUGAUGGAGAAGGGUAAAAAGAAUUCCUGGGUGUCCCUGGGCAACAUAUAUUACAAAAGACCCUGAAAGUAAUCAGAGGAAAUGUACAUCUGGCAAAAAGAGAAUUUUUUUCAAGUUCUGAAAAUAUUUCAAAGCAAAACCAUUGCAGAGAUCCAUCGAGGAGGCCUCACCAGCAGAAGACAUGCCUACCUAGAGUCUCUUGGAAACCUGUUUGACUCAGGUGGAAAUGACCUACUGGCAUUUACUUGUAAUUGCCCAGCAUGGCAGUUGCUGAGGAAGGAAAAGCUGUUGAGUCAUACGGCAAGCCGCUUUUCCACUUUUGUCUAGUUGCCCAGAGGGUAGAGUGGGACAGUCAGAAGGCUGAGAUUCUGUUUAUGCCUCUGACACUGAUUUCCCAUACGACCUUGGCAAGUACUACUUCUUGUGCCACUGUUUCCCCAUUUCUUAAUAGAUAAAACCACUCCCUUGACUCAUGGGACAAUCAUAAGUGCACAGCAAGGAACAUGUUUGUUUAAACUAAUGAAAGGUAAGAGAGAAGAGUGAAGAGUUAUUAUUGUUGUCAUAUAAUACAAAAGCAGUUAUGUAACAACAUCAGUAUUGCUUCAUUUUAGCCAUUAUGACAUAACAAACUGUCAGAGGCAUAGUCUGACAUAGUAUCUUCAUCCCAGUGAAUGUACUGAAGCAUUUACCUCAUUGAUACAAAACCAGAUUACACCACUCUGGAAGACUCUACCUCGUUUAUUUUGACCAGCCUUUCUCUAGAACAUGUUUUUCCUGUAUAACCUUGUAACCCUUAAUAAUGGCCCAAACUACACUAUAGGAAUGACACCAGGUUUCAUGAGCUAGUAAAAGCAAAACAGUUCCUCACUUGUGCAUUUCACAACUAGUCACACACUAAAACACACAAGUACUUAUCAUCUUUGCGAACAGCGAACAAGCUUAAGUUAGUUUCUAAACUGGUACAUA